AUUGAACGCUGGCGGCAGGCCUAACACAUGCAAGUCGAGCGGGAGUAGCAAUACUCUAGCGGCGAACGGGUGAGGAAUGCUUGGGAAUCUGCCUAGUAGUGGGGGAUAACGUUCGGAAACGGACGCUAAUACCGCAUACGUCCUACGGGAGAAAGGGGGGAGUCUUCGGACCUCUCGCUAUUAGAUGAGCCCAAGCGGGAUUAGCUAGUUGGUGAGGUAAUGGCUCACCAAGGCAACGAUCCCUACGCUGGUCUGAGAGGAUGAUCAGCCACACUGGAACUGAGACACGGUCCAGACUCCUACGGGAGGCAGCAGUGGGGAAUAUUGGACAAUGGGCGAAAGCCUGAUCCAGCCAUGCCGCGUGUGUGAAGAACGGCCGUUAGGGUUAGUAAAGCACUUUAAGCGAGGAGGAAGGUUCGUCACCUAAUACGCGGC
rnacentral:rRNA from 1 species